rnacentral:pre_miRNA from 1 species
AAUAAAUCAAUCUUUUACUUUUUACCUAUAAUAUUUGACUCUUCAUCUUGUUAGAAAAUUUUUUAUGAUUAUUUUUUUAUUAGAUGAUAAAUCAUAAAUCGUACUUUAUAUGUGACUAAUUCUUUUUUAAUUUCUUAAAAAUUUUUAAAUUGAACGGAUAGUCAAACGCUAGACACGAAAACCUAAAGUUUAUCUUAUU